rnacentral:misc_RNA from 1 species
GUAUUUUAUUUUAUUGACUCGGGCAAAAGCCCUUUCAAUGGUACAUUCGAAUACAUUCGAUGGAGUUUUUAAGAAGAAAAACAUAGGUCAACAGACCUACAACAGGUGCACAUGGUGUGAGAAGGGUCAGAAAUGGUUCAAGGAGUGCACGUGCGACGACGAGCCGCCAGCAACAUCCCCGAGCGUUUUUCAGUAAUGAUCCUUCCGCAGGUUCACCUACGGAAA